UACGAAUCGUCCAAACGUUGUUCGGAUUUACUGGGCUUAAAGGGCGCGUAGGCGGUGCGCUAAGUCGGUGGUGAAAUACUUCGGCUCAACCGGAGAAUUGCCGCUGAAACUGGCGUGCUCGAGGGAGGUAGAGGUGCGUGGAACUUCCGGUGGAGCGGUGAAAUGCGCAGAUAUCAGGAGGAACCCCGGUGGCGAAGGCGGUUCUCUGGGCAUUACCUGACGCUGAGGAGCGAAAGUGUGGGGAGCGAACAGG
rnacentral:rRNA from 1 species